rnacentral:piRNA from 1 species
UGCCAUUUUCCGUGGAUAUAAACAAAGC